rnacentral:rRNA from 1 species
UACGUAGGGAGCAAGGCGUUGUCCGGAAUCAUUGGGCGUAAAGCGCGCGUAGGUGGCCUCAUAAGUCCGUUGUGAAAGUCAAAGGCUACAACCUUUGAAAGCCGAUGGAUACUGUGAGAACUAGAGUACGGAAGAGGCGAGUGGAAUUCCUGGUGUAGCGGUGGAAUGCGCAGAUAUCAGGAGGAACACCAAUAGCGAAGGCAGCUCGCUGGGACGUUACUGACACUGAGGCGCGAAAGCGUGGGGAGCGAAACAGG